GAUGAACGCUGCGGCCUGCCCAAAAAAUGCAAAUCGAACGGAACAGACAAGAACUUGGCUCCUCGGACUUUACCGCCGGACGGGGGAGAACACGUGGAAAACCCUCCUUAUAGAAUGGGAAUAACUCGGGGAAACGGGACCUAUACCGGAAAAUAUAUUUAAACGCAUGGGUCAAUUAUGAAAAACCGGUUUUCUUUUGCCUAUUGAUGGAUCCGCGCCGCAUUAGCUAGUUGGUAAGGUAACGGCUUACCAAGGCAACGAUGCGUAGCCGACCUGAGAGGGUGAUCGGCCACACUGGAACUGAGACACGGUCCAGACUCCUACGGGAGGCAGCAGUAGGGAAUCUUCCGCAAUGGGCGAAAGCCUGACGGAGCAACGCCGCGUGAGUGAUGAAGGUCUUCGGAUCGUAAAACUCUGUUAUUAGGGAAGAACAAAUGUGUAAGUAACUAUGCACGUCUUGACGGUACCUAAUCAGAAAGCCACGGCUAACUACGUG
rnacentral:rRNA from 1 species